UGCGCGCCAGCGGGGCGGGCAGCCGCCGGCCGCGCUCGAAACGCGGCACAAGCAGCGCGCGCGCGACGUUCCAGCGCCAGCGCGUCUC
rnacentral:tRNA from 1 species